rnacentral:rRNA from 1 species
UACAGAGGGGGGCAAGCGUUAUUCGGAAUUAUUGGGCGUAAAGGGCGCGUAGGCGGCUUGGCAAGUGGAAGGUGAAAUCCCUCGGCUUAACCGAGGAACUGCCCUCCAAACUGCUUUGCUUGAGGCCGGGAGAGGUGAGUGGAAUUCCCAGUGUAGCGGUGAAAUGCGUAGAUAUUGGGAGGAACACCAGUGGCGAAGGCGGCUCACUGGACCGGUUCUGACGCUGAUGCGCGAAAGCGUGGGGAGCAAACGGG